CGGUUUUGAAUUGAAAGAGAGGUGGAAGAAUAGAUAUGAAUUGAAAGAGAAGUGGAGAAGCGUUUAUGAAUUGAAAAAGUGAAGUUUAUUUUCAAAAUCAAUUGCAUAAAUAAAAGGGAGUAACUAUUCAAAUUCUGAGAGAGAAAAGAUAUCAGAGAAAAAUAACAAAGAAGAUACGAAGGAAGUGUAGAAAAAAAAAAAGAAUAAGGAACAAGAAGGCAUUGGUCGCUUUUUAUCCUUGCACCCUCAUAUCAGGUAGCUUCUCAUUCCUUCCUUCUAUGACUACAAUUUUAAUAUUGUUUAUAUCGUGAGAGGUGAAUUUGUUUGUUGUAACUAAUUUGGUGUGCGGUCAUUGUAGUUACUUGUUUUUCAAUGUUUGAAAAGACCUUGAUUGCAGCGAGUCGUGAUGGAAGCCAAACUCACCAAAUUGAGAUGAAGAUGUUUGGGCGAAAAAGUUGUUUGUAGAAUCACUACAACAUUUACAAUGGAAAUGGACAUGUUACCGAUAUUAUCGAGAUUGGUCUUUGCAUUUUAUGAUGUAAAGUAGAUUCACUUUUACUUUUACAUAUUAUUAUUUUGUUAAAAAUUUAUAUAUUUUAAAUAUUCACUCAAAUAAAGAAAUACAUGAUGCACAAUAACUAUAUAUUAUC
rnacentral:lncRNA from 1 species